rnacentral:rRNA from 1 species
UGGUGGAGUGACUUGUCUGGUUAAUUCCGUUAACGAACGAGACCUUAGCCUGCUAACUAGUAGCGCUCGGCUCUUGCCGACGCAGACUUCUUAGAGGGACUUUGUGGUCAUAAACACAAGGAAGUUUGAGGCAAUAACA